CACUAAGCUGCCCUGAACCCUAUUGCCCUGACACCACCACCCCACCCCCGGCACCCCCCAACCCUAACCCCCCAUCCCCCCGCCCCUUCCCUCUCCAGCGAUCUACAGUGACCAGGAAAGGAGUNNNNNNNNNNNNNNNNNNNNNNNNNNAACUUCAGAAAAGUGGAGAUCAAGGUGAGGGAGGCAGGAAGUGCCGAGGUUCCACCGCUGUGGAGGAGCCCAGGUUCCAGACCUCCCAGGGCAGCCUCUAUCUCUUGGGCUUCCAGAGAGAGAAAUUCAAGGUCAAGCCGUCUAUUAUAGACAGCUGUGGGCCCGCUUCAAGGGCAGAGCCACAAUUAAAUGGCGAUAGAAUCCGCCUUUGAAAAGCUUUACCAAGGACGGUGGGGCUGGAAUUUGACCCCAGGGCUUGAGUCUCACAGCACAGCAGAAGGGAAUGGCAGAUCAGGCCUCUACCCAGAAUUCCAGCCCCACCUGCUCUGCAGCCCCCAAAUGCCCCCCAACAGGGACAAAGCUGGCCUUCUGCAUCCAGAGGUGAUGAUGCCCAGAACGCAGAGUGAGGCUGUGGAGCCAGGCAGUUCGACCAGCUGUGUGACCUUAGGAAAAGUACACAACCUCUCUGAGCCUCAUUUUCCAGAAAUGCAAAGUAGAGACAUUAACAACCUAGGAUUAAAUGAAAUAAUCCAUAUAGAACAUGUAACAGCAUCUCAUUUUGGUAAAAAUAGUGCUUGAGCAUGUGUGUGUAUGUGUGUGUGUGUGUCUGUGUACAAAGAGGAAACUCUAGAAGGAUAGGAAUAAGCUUUUAGGAGCUGAUUAAUAUUUUGGGGACAGAGGAUGAGGGGAAACCUUUCCCUAACUCUUUGAGAAAAGCAAGCAACUCUGCCUGGUUCCACCAGCCUGAGUUUUCCUUCUCGCUCCCUCCAGAAGAUCACAGUGGCAGUGCCCGCCUGGCACAGGGUGCUUGUCUGAGAGUGAGUUUUUGCAGAGGGAGGGCCUGAAGCAGCUGAGCCCUGUUGCUGGGGCUGGUGCCAAGGGCGGCUC
rnacentral:lncRNA from 1 species